rnacentral:lncRNA from 1 species
GACUAAUGCAAGGCAUGUAAUGUGGGCAUUCAAAAUUAGAUUCCCUCGGACAAGAUUUUCCUGAAUUGGCUCCGUGUGAGUUUUUCUUGAACAAGUAUCCUAGGAAUUUUUUUGUGUGCAAUGCGGGAAGGGUGUACACAAUGAUUGAUAAAAGGUAUCUAUGGAUUAGGAAACCCAGCUUACAGUAUUUGAUUUACCCAUGUGAUGAUAUUAAUGAGUUGGAAAGAUUAAAUAGGGAACUGAUUUUAAAGUAAAUUGAUAUCUUGAUUCUUUAGUUGACAUGUAUAGUUUCUAUUAUAUUUCAAUUGAAAACACAGGUCAAAAACUCUCGAACUCUAUAAUGUACAAUUGUGGAACUCUUAUCAUAUUGAGUUGCUCUUGAAGGAUUUAUUGAUAUUGCCUUGAUUGGAGAAGAUGUUGAGAACAACUUCAGCGGCAUGUGUUAGACUUAAUUUUUGUUUCAACUUGAAAUUCUUUUUAUGGAGCCAAGAGUCUCCUGUUAAUUUAUUUAUUCUUUUUCACUGAACUUUACUUCUGCCCCCAAUUUAAGUGGUCUCUUUAGUUUGUGUACAGAACGGAUAACGUUUUGAGAUGAACACUUUCAAGUAAACAAGUGGUGCUUGAAGUUAAUUUUUGAGAAGCAAAUUUUGAAAAAAGAAAUCUUUUUAAUGGGUCUUCAAUUUCUUCAAAUGCUUACAACAAGUGAUUACUAACCUUGGUUGCGCAAGUGAAUAUUUUACUCAUAUGUUCAUAAUCAGAUUAGUUACUAUUUAUUCUGCUCCUUGUGAUUUGUUUGAUGAGUGAUGAUAAUUUUCUUCAAAUUUGAUAUUUAUGUCUUUGAGCGUAUUUUAACUGCAGAUAUAAUUGUUGCUCUGUUAAAUGAAGUGAACAAGCAGGAAUAAUUCUUGGUGGGGGGCAAGCUGACACUUGCCAAUUCUGACAAAUUCGAAACACGCAGCACUGUAAGUUUGUGACAAAUCCAACAAGUUAAAGUAUAUUUCAUAAUUGAAAACACUUCCUUCUGCUGUGCACCUAUGAUAAUUAACGAUAUGUUCACUCUUUUUGGUUUUCCGCGAGAAAUGAGCCAACUGGAUGGACAAUGUAAAUUGAGCUUUCAACCCAACAAGACAAUACUCAAAAGAAGAGAAAAGAGAGUCCAGUGAAUUCUGAGGGAGACAACUUAUGCAAGAAGAAAAUAAAGGCUGAAUUAUAUUAAUAUCAAUAUCAUAAAGAUAUAUAUAUAUAUAUAUAUAUAUAU